UACAGAGGGGGCAAGCGUUGUUCGGAAUUACUGGGCGUAAAGGGCGCGUAGGCGGCCUGCUAAGUCGAACGUGAAAUCCCUGGGCUCAACCCAGGAACUGCGUCCGAUACUGGUUGGCUUGAAUCCGGGAGAGGGACGUGGAAUUCCAGGUGUAGCGGUGAAAUGCGUAGAUAUCAAGAGGAACACCUGCGGCGAAGGCGGGUUGCUGGGCUGACACUGACGCUGAGGCGCGAAAGCUAGGGGAGCGAACGGG
rnacentral:rRNA from 1 species